GCGCUGUGCGGCAGCUACACAUGCAAGUCGAGCGCCCCGCAAGGGGAGCGGCAGACGGGUGAGUAACACGUGGGAAUCUACCCAGCUCUACGGAAUAACCCAGGGAAACUUGGACUAAUACCGUAUACGUCCUUCGGGAGAAAGAUUUAUCGGAGUUGGAUGAGCCCGCGUCGGAUUAGCUAGUUGGUGAGGUAAUGGCUCACCAAGGCGACGAUCCGUAGCGGGUCUGAGAGGAUGAUCCGCCACACUGGGACUGAGACACGGCCCAGACUCCUACGGGAGGCAGCAGUGGGGAAUUUUGGACAAUGGGGGCAACCCUGAUCCAGCCAUGCCGCGUGAGUGAAGAAGGCCUUCGGGUUGUAAAGCUCUUUCAUUCGGGAAGAAAACGCACGCUCUAACAUAGCGUGUGGAUGACGGUACCGACAGAAGAAGCACCGGCUAACUACGUGCCAGCAGCCGCGGUAA
rnacentral:rRNA from 1 species